AGGUAAUAGCUAAAUAUAGAAAAACCACUAUUCCUUGGCGGCACUCAUUCACCUCAAAGGAACUUGUUAUAUAAUCGACAAUCCCCGUUAAUUUUCACCCAACAGCUUCAAACCUAUAUACCGCCGUUUUAAGAUCAUUAAUCAGAUAACUUUUCACAACACAACUCCAAAAAAUCAGGGCAAGGUGUAGCUGUUAGUUAGGCAAAAAUAAGUUACAAUAAUAACUACCUCUAGAAAAUAAUCUAACAACACCCCAAAAAAGAAUUUGAACUCACUUAUUAAAAUAAUAUCUAAUAAUGAUUUUACCCUGUGUGC
rnacentral:rRNA from 1 species